GCCCUUGUUGAUUAAUGGAAAUCACCUGCUGUCCUUACCGAAUCGAUAGCAUUCACGUGGGAGACGGAGGUUCGAAUCCUCCCGAGGGCA